GUAUUUGGUCGUAGACCCGAAACCAGGUGAUCUACCCUUGGUCAGGUUGAAGUUCAGGUAACACUGAAUGGAGGACCGAACCGACUUACGUUGAAAAGUGAGCGGAUGAACUGAGGGUAGCGGAGAAAUUCCAAUCGAACCUGGAGAUAGCUGGUUCUCUCCGAAAUAGCUUUAGGGCUAGCCUCAAGUGAUGAUUAUUGGAGGUAGAGCACUGUUUGGACGAGGGGCCCCUCUCGGGUUACCGAAUUCAGACAAACUCCGAAUGCCAAUUAAUUUAACUUGGGAGUCAGAACAUGGGUGAUAAGGUCCGUGUUCGAAAGGGAAACAGCCCAGACCACCAGCUAAGGUCCCAAAAUAUAUGUUAAGUGGAAAAGGAUGUGGCGUUGCCCAGACAACUAGGAUGUUGGCUUAGAAGCAGCCAUCAUUUAAAGAGUGCGUAAUAGCUCACUAGUCGAGUGACACUGCGCCGAAAAUGUACCGGGGCUAAACAUAUUACCGAAGCUGUGGAUUGUCCUUUGGACAAUGGUAGGAGAGCGUUCUAAGGGCGUUGAAGCAUGAUCGUAAGGACAUGUGGAGCGCUUAGAAGUGAGAAUGCCGGUGUGAGUAGCGAAAGACGGGUGAGAAUCCCGUCCACCGAUUGACUAAGGUUUCCAGAGGAAGGCUCGUCCGCUCUGGGUUAGUCGGGUCCUAAGCUGAGGCCGACAGGCGUAGGCGAUGGAUAACAGGUUGAUAUUCCUGUACCACCUAUAAUCGUUUUAAUCGAUGGGGGGACGCAGUAGGAUAGGCGAAGCGUGCGAUUGGAUUGCACGUCUAAGCAGUAAGGCUGAGUAUUAGGCAAAUCCGGUACUCGUUAAGGCUGAGCUGUGAUGGGGAGAAGACAUUGUGUCUUCGAGUCGUUGAUUUCACACUGCCGAGAAAAGCCUCUAGAUAGAAAAUAGGUGCCCGUACCGCAAACCGACACAGGUAGUCAAGAUGAGAAUUCUAAGGUGAGCGAGCGAACUCUCGUUAAGGAACUCGGCAAAAUGACCCCGUAACUUCGGGAGAAGGGGUGCUCUUUAGGGUUAACGCCCAGAAGAGCCGCAGUGAAUAGGCCCAAGCGACUGUUUAUCAAAAACACAGGUCUCUGCUAAACCGUAAGGUGAUGUAUAGGGGCUGACGCCUGCCCGGUGCUGGAAGGUUAAGAGGAGUGGUUAGCUUCUGCGAAGCUACGAAUCGAAGCCCCAGUAAACGGCGGCCGUAACUAUAACGGUCCUAAGGUAGCGAAAUUCCUUGUCGGGUAAGUUCCGACCCGCACGAAAGGCGUAACGAUUUGGGCACUGUCUCAACGAGAGACUCGGUGAAAUCAUAGUACCUGUGAAGAUGCAGGUUACCCGCGACAGGACGGAAAGACCCCGUGGAGCUUUACUGUAGCCUGAUAUUGAAAUUCGGCACAGCUUGUACAGGAUAGGUAGGAGCCUUUGAAACGUGAGCGCUAGCUUACGUGGAGGCGCUGGUGGG
rnacentral:rRNA from 1 species